GACGAACGCUGGCGGCGUGCUUAACACAUGCAAGUCGAACGGUAAGGCCCUUCGGGGUACACGAGUGGCGAACGGGUGAGUAACACGUGGGUGAUCUGCCCUGCACUUCGGGAUAAGCCUGGGAAACUGGGUCUAAUACCGGAUAGGACUCCGGACUGCAUGGUCUGGGGUGGAAAGCUUUUGCGGUGUGGGAUGGGCCCGCGGCCUAUCAGCCUGUUGGUGGGGUGAUGGCCUACCAAGGCGACGACGGGUAGCCGGCCUGAGAGGGUGACCGGCAAAACGGGGACUGAGAUACGGCCCAGACUCCUACGGGAGGCAGCAGUGGGGAAUAUUGCACAAUGGGCGCAAGCCUGAUGCAGCGACGCCGCGUGAGGGAUGACGGCCUUCGGGUUGUAAACCUCUUUCAGCAUCGACGAAGCGAAAGUGACGGUAGGUGCAGAAGAAGGACCGGCCAACUACGUGCCAGCCGCCGCCGUAA
rnacentral:rRNA from 1 species